GUUUGAUCCUGGCUCAGAAUCAACGCUGGCGGCGCGCUUAACACAUGCAAGUCGAACGAGAAAGUGGAGCAAUCCAUGAGUAAAGUGGCGUACGGGUGAGUAACACGUGGAUUAUCUGCCCUUGAGUGGGGAAUAACGAUGGGAAACCGUCGCUAAUACCGCAUAUUCCCGAGAGGGGAAAGCAGCAAUGCGCUCAAGGAGGAGUCCGCGGCCGAUUAGCUAGUUGGUAGGGUAAUGGCCUACCAAGGCUUCGAUCGGUAGCCGGCCUGAGAGGGCACACGGCCACACUGGCACUGAAACACGGGCCAGACUCCUACGGGAGGCAGCAGUGGGGAAUCUUGCACAAUGGGGGCAACCCUGAUGCAGCGACGCCGCGUGAGCGAUGAAGCCCUUCGGGGUGUAAA
rnacentral:rRNA from 1 species